rnacentral:rRNA from 1 species
AUUGAACGCUGGCGGCAUGCCUAACACAUGCAAGUCGAGCGAGCGGCGGACGGGUGAGUACUGUAUGGGGAUCUGCCUGAUGGCGGGGUAUAACUACUGGAAACGGUAGCUACUACCGCAUACCAUGAGAUGAACCCAUAUGGGAUUAGCUAGUAGGUAUGGGAACGGCUUACCUAGGCGACGAUCCCUAGUUGGUAUGAGAGGAUGAUCAGACACACUGGGACGGAGACACGGCCCAGACUCCUACGGGAGGCAGCAGUGGGGAAUAUUGCACAAUGGGGGCAAGCCUGAUGCAGCCAUGCCGCGUGUAUGAAGAAGGCCUUCGGGUUGUAAAGUACUUUCAGUCGGGAGGCGUUACCGACAGAAGAAGCACCGGCUAACUCCGUGCCAGCCGCCGCGGUAAUAC